UACGUAGGGCGCAAGCGUUGUCCGGAAUUAUUGGGCGUAAAGAGCUCGUGGGCGGCUUGUCACGUCGGGUGUGAAAGCUCGGGGCUUAACCCCGGGUCUGCAUUCGAUACGGGCUGGCUGGAGUGUGGUAGGGGAGAUCGGAAUUCCCGGUGUAGCGGUGAAAUGCGCAGAUAUCGGGAGGAACACCGGUGGCGAAGGCGGGUCUCUGGGCCGAAACUGACGCUGAGGAGCGAAAGCGUGGGGAGCGAUCCGG
rnacentral:rRNA from 1 species